AGCCACCUACACCGAAACAUAGGCAACAAACAAACAAAAAAUGGUGCGGCAUUAGUUUAGUGGCUGUAGAAACAAAAGAUGGCGGCGCUAGUGGCUAAGUAAUGUGGUGUACUAAUGUGUACAGAGAGAGAGAGAGAGGAGAGACAAGGAUCCCGAAAUCGUUACAGACAUCCGGACACUCGAACGCCGCUUGAUGCAGUAAACCGCUGCCAAUAAUUAGGUGUUAGCAGUACGGUAGGACGGAGUUUCCCUGCACACGACGCUUUUCACAAACAAAACAAGGGGACAAACGCUCAGGACAGAAGGAGGAGCAGGAGGAGGAGGAGAAGAAGCUGUCGAAACAUUUACAACGAUCCUUAAAAAAAGUCGUUAAAGUGUCUUUCAACGUUUUUGAGAAAUUUAAAUUUGAAAUUUAAUUUAAAAUAAAUAAAAAAAGAAGAGAGGAUUAGCUUAUUAACCCUACAACAAUUAUCCGAAGAAAAAAAAAACACACAGCCAUUUCGAUGCCAACAGGAUGAAAAAUGAUCACUUCCGGAAACCCUUUUGCACGUUGGUUUUUUUUUUGUUUUCCUUGUUUUUUUGUUUUUCUGUGAUACAAUUUUAUUUAUGCUGGUUUAAAAUUUUGAUUCUUACUUAAAAGAGUGUUGGUUUUCUGUGUGGUUUUAAUGUUUAAAGUUCUUACAGCAGCUUUUGUUAUCAGCAACAAACCAUGUUUUCUGGUGACAUUGCUCCAUUACACCUGGCGCAACCCAUGUCGUGUGCUAAAUGUGUGUGAGAGUCUUCAACAACCAUUCGUGCAAUUCGUGGAUGGACACGGUUAGGUAGAAGCUUCGUACGACGUGCUUAACCCAAACCUCCUGGAGUGAAAUCACAGCGCACCUUACAAUAAAGCCAGCCGCCACUCGUUUGAGUCGUCUCAUCAAACAUCGAACCCCGCGCGCGGCCUUUUAAAACCAGCGCCCACACCUGUGUGGUUGCGAUCGCAAUAUAGAAAAGUACACUGACGCAAUGUGAAAUAAAGAAUAGAAAUUUCUCUCCUUUACCAAGUAAUAAUGCGAGACAAAACAGCACAAACAGAUAUUAGGGUCUGCUGUGGCAUGCAAAAUGUAGGGUUUCCAACUGAAGAAGCUUCGGUUCAUACUUUAUUAACGUGUACUGGUGGUGAUGGUGGUUGGAAGCUGGAGUUGUGUAGCUCUCCGAAGUCAACUGGCCCGUAGCCCAAACAAACAGGGCGUGUUUGCCUCUCGGGAUGAUGGCGCACCGAGCUGAUGAGGGCUCAUCUACUAAUGGGGCGACAACACACACGGUGAUUAAAUGUAAUCCGGAUUUCAUCCACCGAUAAUCUCAAUCAUUUAAUUGGCCCUUACUAGAGGGUGCUUCUUGCCCUAUGGAUGAUCUUGUGAGCCCACUCACACACUCACACACACACUGCCAAUGUUUUUUUUUUAAACAAGUGUUGCUUGCCUCUUAUUGUAAUCAGAACAUUCUUAUGACCCAUUUCUUAGCGGUGCUGCGUGUGUCAUCGUGUGCGCACACACAAGUGUGCUCUCAUUGCAUUUCAACUGCACGCAGAUACACACACACACACACACGCGCGUGGGGCGGCUAGCUAGUCGCGCUAGUAGUGGUAAAGCCCAUCGAGCAACUGACAAAUCUACCAUCAGUGUUGUGUUGUUAUCAUGUGUGUUGUUAGCAUGCAUAUUUUGUUUGUAUGUUUAUUUAGCUCUUCUUCCUCUUGCACUGUAUAACUGCUAGUAGUGUUUCUAAUUAAAUUAUCAUUCAGAAACGUUCCGAUUUUUUCGCAACUCUUUGUUGCUCUUUAUCUUGCUCUCUCUCUCUCGCUAUCUCUCUCGCGAUCUACUACUACUGCCUCUGCCUACAACUCAACGCCAGAAUGAUCCAUUCACUAUCCUUCCCAUUUGAAUCUUUUCCCCUUUUUUUUCGCAAAACAUUGUGCUGUUGUGCUGUGCUGCCAACAGCGCGCGUUUUAUCGUCUCACCGUUUGCUCUUUCACUCUCUACUAAAUCGUGUCGAAUUUGUAACAGAAUAUAAUCAAAAUGUAGCUUCUUGGUUUCCCCUCCCCCCCCCCUAAAGGGACCUUUUUCCUUUCGACUACCUUCGUCUAACUUGUAGAUUCUAUCCCUUUUCCUUUUCAACUUCAUCGUCAGAGCCGCGGUGUGCGCGUACCCGCGUGGUUACAGGCACACACACACGUGCACGUGCCCUAGAAGCGAUGAUUGUGUGAUGAAUGAUCUUGGGGGGGGGGGGGGGGGGGUGGUUGUUGAAAUUUAA